GGUGGCGGUGGCGAGGCG
rnacentral:misc_RNA from 1 species